GGUAAGGUGGCUGAGUAAGCAUUAGACUGUAAAUCUAAAGACGGGGGUUAAAGCCCCUCCUUAUCA
rnacentral:tRNA from 1 species